UGGGGAAUAUUGCACAAUGGGCGCAAGCCUGAUGCAGCCAUGCCGCGUGUAUGAAGAAGGCCUUCGGGUUGUAAAGUACUUUCAGCGAGGAGGAAGGCGUUGUGGUUAAUAACCGCAACGAUUGACGUUACUCGCAGAAGAAGCACCGGCUAACUCCGUGCCAGCAGCCGCGGUAAUACGGAGGGUGCAAGCGUUAAUCGGAAUUACUGAGCGUAAAGCGCACGCAGGCGGUCUGUCAAGUCGGAUGUGAAAUCCCCGGGCUCAACCUGGGAACUGCAUCCGAAACUGGCAGGCUAGAGUCUUGUAGAGGGGGGUAGAAUUCCAGGUGUAGCGGUGAAAUGCGUAGAGAUCUGGAGGAAUACCGGUGGCGAAGGCGGCCCCCUGGACAAAGACUGACGCUCAGGUGCGAAAGCGUGGGGAGCAAACA
rnacentral:rRNA from 1 species